AUGCCGUAAACUUAUGAGUAAGGAAAAUGAGUCAAAGUAAUGCCUGAAUCCUUACUGUUAAUGUGAACUGAAUUUUUUAGCAGGUAAAAAUUGAGAUUUUUACCUA
ensembl:snRNA U12 U12 minor spliceosomal RNA